AUGUAGCAAUACAUGGCGUACUGCUCAGUAACACGUGGAUAACCUACCCUUGAGAUGGGGAUAAACCCGGGAAACUGGGUAUAAUACCCAAUAGAUCUCGACUGCUGGAAUGCAUCGAGAUCCAAAGCUCCGGCGCUCAAGGAUGGAUCUGCGGCCUAUCAGGUAGUAGUGGGUGUAGCGUACCUACUAGCCUACGACGGGUACGGGUUGUGAGAGCAAGAGCCCGGAGAUGGAUUCUGAGACACGAAUCCAGGCCCUACGGGGUGCGGCAGGCGCGAAAACUUUACAAUGCUGGAAACAGCGAUAAGGGGACCUCGAGUGCCAGGUUACAAAUCUGGCUGUCGUGAUGCCUAAAAAGCAUUGCAUAGCAAGGGCCGGGCAAGACCGGUGCCAGCCGCCGCGGUAACACCGGCGGCUCGAGUGGUAACCGUUAUUAUUGGGUCUAAAGGGUCUGUAGCCGGCCGGAUAAGUCUCUUGGGAAAUCUGGCAGCUUAACUGUCAGGCUUUCAGGAGAUACUGUCUGGCUCGAGGCCGGGAGAGGCGAGAGGUACUUCAGGGGUAGGGGGUGAAAUCUUGUAAUCCUUGAAGGACCACCAGUGGCGAAGGCGUCUCACCAGAACGGACCUGACGGCAAGGGACGAAAGCUAGGGGCACGAACCGGAUUAGAUACCCGGGUAGUCCUAGCCGUAAGCGAUACUCGCUAGGUGUCGGCAACGGUGCGACCGUUGUCGGUGCCGUAGGGAAGCCGUGAAGCGAGCCACCUGGGAAGUACGGCCGCAAGGCUGAAACUUAAAGGAAUUGGCGGGGGAGCACCACAACGGGUGGAGCUUGCGGUUUAAUUGGACUCAACGCCGGG
rnacentral:rRNA from 1 species